rnacentral:rRNA from 1 species
AAAGUGUACAAGGUCUCCGUUGGUGAACCAGCGGAGGGAUCAUUA